CAUUAGAUAGCUUAAAGUAAGCGCUGGUCUCUUAAACCAUAAAAUAAUAAAUUACGCCUAUUUCUAGUGA
rnacentral:tRNA from 1 species